CAGUCGCCGCGGGAAUACGAAGGGGGCUAGCGUUGCUCGGAAUGACUGGGCGUAAAGGGCGCGUAGGCGGAUGGCACAGUCAGAUGUGAAAUUCCCGGGCUUAACCUGGGGGCUGCAUUUGAUACGUGUUGUCUAGAGUGAGGAAGAGGGUUGUGGAAUUCCCAGUGUAGAGGUGAAAUUCGUAGAUAUUGGGAAGAACACCGGUGGCGAAGGCGGCAACCUGGUCCUUGACUGACGCUGAGGCGCGAAAGCGUGGGGAGCAAACAGGAUUAGAUACCCCCGUAGUCCCUGUCUCUUAUAC
rnacentral:rRNA from 1 species